rnacentral:rRNA from 3 species
GGUGCGAUCAUACCAGCACUAC